rnacentral:rRNA from 1 species
GAUGAACGCUGGCGGCGUGCCUAAUACAUGCAAGUCGAGCGAACGGACGAGAAGCUUGCUUUUCUGAUGUUAGCGGCGGACGGGUGAGUAACACGUGGAUAACCUACCUAUAAGACUGGGAUAACUUCGGGAAACCGGAGCUAAUACCGGAUAAUAUUUUGAACCGCAUGGUUCAAAAGUGAAAGACGGUCUUGCUGUCACUUAUAGAUGGAUCCGCGCUGCAUUAGCUAGUUGGUAAGGUAACGGCUUACCAAGGCAACGAUGCAUAGCCGACCUGAGAGGGUGAUCGGCCACACUGGAACUGAGACACGGUCCAGACUCCUACGGGAGGCAGCAGUAGGGAAUCUUCCGCAAUGGGCGAAAGCCUGACGGAGCAACGCCGAGUGAGUGAUGAAGGUCUUCGGAUCGUAAAACUCUGUUAUUAGGGAAGAACAUAUGUGUAAGUAACUGUGCACAUCUUGACGGUACCUAAUCAGAAAGCAACGGCUAACUACGUG